ACUGCUCCCCACCCAUCCCCACCCUUCUUCCUUUCACCGGCCUCCACCUCCCUGGACAGUGAUGCUGUUGAGAUCUAUACGGGAAGCAACUUGAGUUUGGUAGAAUGAAGACCAACGACAAAGUUAUAUUCAUCCACACUCUCUUCUUCUUCGCACUCUACUUCAUCCUAAUCUUGAUGUUCGCGUUCACAUCUACACCGAUUGAAUAAACCGGUUCCCAAGACUUGGGCUUUUCUUCGUCUUUUCGUUUUGUAAUCGAACGUAUUGUUCAGCUGAAAGAAUAAAUGAGAAAUCCCCUAUUUUUGUGUGGUUUUGUUUUUGUGAGUUUGAAGUUUGAACUCGCUUUUCAAGUUAGUGCGUUUUGGAUCUAAAAAAUAGACUUUUGUAAUUCAGGGGAAAGAUGAAUUGGCCAAACUCACAUCUUGAAGAUAACAUGUAGCUAACCAUUGCGCCUACGGUGGGAUAUUUUAAAGUCCUCACAAAAUCAUCACAGACAACAUCCCAAUUGAAUCAAGCCUCGCUUCAAGAGAACCCAUCACCACCUUCCUCUUCCCACACGCCGCUCUGUACAACUCUUCCAAUCCAGAGAGCGACUCUUCCUCCGUCAACACCACGGGGUCCCCCCCACCGGCAUGCCGAGAAUCAGCGCAACGUCCAGCAAGCUCAUCGAGAUCUCACCGGAACCAACCGCGAAGGCUUGCCGCUCGGAAUCCCAGGCCUUCAUCACCUCCGUGAGGAGAACUAGUAACUUGGUUGCGCGCUUCAAUUCUUUUUUCUUUUCUUCCAAUUUUUCCUUUCACUAUGACCUAAACCUAUUGAGCUUGAGCCUGUCGUUCACCCCUGUUCGCGUUCACCAUCGCUCACGUCUGCCAUUCUUAUUCGGCGAUUCGCCUUCAGCCGCUCGUCGCUGUCGUUCACCUCCGCUCGUACUUCUCGAGCUUCUUCUGUUCUUCCCCUCUGGUUCCUCUUCAGCGAUUCUCUGCCGUUUGCACCGCUCGCCCCCUUCCAUUGUUGUUGUUUCGGGGUUUUGGAGAAUCGCUGCUAUCAACGAAGCAGGAGGGUGGAAAGAUAGAAUAACAGUGGAAGACUUGAACCUUGCUGUUCGUGCCAAUCUUAGGGGAUGAAAACUUUUACACCUUGGUGACCUCCAGUCUUCUUAUUAUUCUACUCUCAGGAGGCUCCCAAUGGAAUGGACAGAAGUUGUCAUUCCACUUGUGGAAUCAGGAUAUGUAAAGGUUUGAGGAUGAUGGAUUGUUGCUCUACAUAGCCAGCAAAUGAUGCGCGAAAUCAUGUGGUUAGUGAGAACUUUUUACGAUGGAGUUGAGAUGGUGAUGGUCACUGCAUUCACAUUAAGAGGAUUUAAGGUGCAUACAAGAUCUAGUAUUGAAGUUGAUUCAAGGUUUGACAAUGAGAAAGCCUUUCUACUAUAGCCCAGUUCAUGGAGGAUAAGCAUAAGAUGAUGCUUCUGGGGAAUUUCAAGAAUAUCAAGAAUUUCUACUAUAGCUGAAGAAUCAAACUAUGAGGAGAAAACUCGUGAAGAUAAAGACUUUGCACCAGCUAUCUUGAAUCCACAAUAAUAGAGACGAAGGAUGGAACCGAUUACAAGGGCCGAUACAUAAAAGAAGCAACCUAACGUCUUACAUUGUGUACUUUAGGAUCACACUCUCAUGGUCCAAACCCUUCAGCAAGUGAUCUUGAGUCUGCAACAAAUUCUCAUUACAAUUUAUUAGCCUCACACUUGGGAAGCCAUGAGAAGGCCAAAGAAGCAAUAUUUUACUCUUAUAAUAAACACAUCAAUGGUUUUGCUGCUGUACUUGAAGAGCAAGAAGCAAAAAUUGUAGCAAAAAAUCCAAGUGUAGUGUCUGUGUUCUUGAACGAAGGUCAUCAACUCCAAACCACCAGAUCAUGGGAAUUUCUUGGGCUAGAGAGUAAUGGAGUAGUUUCCAAAGGCUCCAUAUGGGAGAAGGCAAGUUAUGGAGAGGGUUUAAUCAUUGCUGGUAUUGAUACAGGUCACUUUCUUUUCUUAUUCUCAAACACUCAUAGUCAAAGUCUAAAUGUUCAAUUUUCAAAAGAGGAGGCUGCUUCUUUAUUCUUUGCUAAGAUAAGUAUUUUCUUUUUCUAGUUUGUAAGUCUUAUUCACCAAAUCAAUUAUGAUAUUCAUGUGGUACCAUUUUUCUUUAAUUAUUUUUAGUUUUUUACACCUCUUUUAUCAGUAACAAAACAAGAAAAAGUGAAAAACACAUUUUCAUGCUUCUAAAUUAUUCAAUCAGUUAUGUUCUUCACUCCUGAAUAGGUGUUACGCCUGAAUCUAGAAGCUUUAGUGUGUGUUUGGAUCAGCGUUAGCAGAAUUUGAUCUAGUCAUAAUUGGAUUUAGCCAUAAUUGGAUCUGGUCAGAAUUGGAUCUGUAAACGUGAGUUUGAGCGACGUGAUUUAUGUUUGGAUACAUUUACUAGAAUGAUUUGAUUAGAAUUGUUUUUAGGUAUGUAAUGACCAAACUGGGUAUAAUCAAAAUAGAGUAUGCAUAAAAUAAAUAACACAUUAAAAUAAGAAAAUAACUUGAUUUGUAUGAUUUCUAAAGUUUAAUUUAAUUUAAUUAGUACAAGAGUAUAGUAUUCCAUUUGACAUUUGUUUCCUUCAAAAAUCAAUUUUUAUAAAAAAAAAACGGUGGUUUUGCUUUUCUAAAAAGUUACCCAAACACUAAAGGCCCAUGGUGCUUUUCUAAAAAAAAUAAGCCCAUGGUUUUACCUUCCUAAUUCCUACCCUACCCGUGCCACAGAACAAGCGGUGGUAAUUUAACAUUACCAGUUUUAUCUCUCAAUUUCUCUCUCACUCUCACGCUGCUAUGUCCUAAACCAUCAAAAUACAGAAGAUAGAUCACUGGUCAGUAUUGAUAAUAAAGAGUGGGAAGGGUAAGAUGGACCAAAAUAUCUCACAGGCUCAGAUCCGGAUCCCCUCCACGCAGAAGCUACUCUUGCUUGCUUCAGUUGGAUCCACGUUUUGUUCCUGAAUCAAUUUUCAGAUUGAAGUACCCAAAUAUCUUUAAAGCAUAGAAGAUCCACGUUUGGGGCUCAGAUCCAUUUUUUAGGCCCAGAUCCACGUUUCAGAAGCUGAACCAAACACACACUUAGUGAUGAUGUUGGAAUGGGCCCUGUCCCAUCAAGGCGGCGUGGGGUCUGUCAACUUGACAAUUUUCGCUGUAAUAGGUUUGUCCUCGGCUUACACCACAGGUUCAUAGAGCAUAUAUGGAAAUAUUUAUAGAAUUGAUUCUGAAACAGGAAUCGAUUUUGAUGAGCAGCUCUUGUAAGUAGCUUCUCGGUUUCAGAAUUGAUUAUGAAGAAAGAGAAGUUUAUCCAAACAUGCUAAAUUUCUUCUUUGUACUUCAAAUAUGCUAGAAGGUCUUUUUCAUGUAAAUUGCUUCUUUGCACUACAUACUUGUAAGUGCUUUGAAGUUUUUACUUGGACAAAGUCAUGUUGAACUUACAAUAUGCUCUUAUGCCACAGCUGUAGAGAAUUGUCCCAAGAAUUUGAAUGUGAAAUUGAUAGGAGCAAGAUUCUUCAGCAAUUGUUAUGAGUGAAAACCAGCUCCAGCAGUAGCUUCAUUCUCAUCGAGGGGACCUAGCGCCAUCCAGCCAACAAUCCUCAAGGCUUUGUUUCAUCACUAACUUUGCCAUUAGUACAUUCUUUAUGCAUAUCCAGAAGCCAUAAGUCAAACUGGUCUUCCAUCAGAUUAUCGGCAGAUUCCAUAUAAUAUAGGGUCAGGAACUUCUGCAGCGUGCCCUCAUGCUUCUGGCAUCAUUGGCCUUCUCAAAACACUCUAUCCCAAUUGGAGUCCUGCAGCCUUAAAAUCUGCAAUUAUGACUACUGGUAUAUCUUUUAGACAUUAUCACAAACAUCUUCUACGCAAAAUGUUGAUAAGAACCUUGGGAGAACCACACCACAAAAGCUAGCUUAUCAAUGGUAUCAGAGCCUUCCACCAUGUCUCUGACCUGCAAACGAGCGGCGCGGGUGGUGACGUCGGCAUUACAGUGUUCACCCGGGACUAGUCGUGGGGCUAGUGCAAAGCCAACCCGCGUGGGCGCCGGGGCUGCGGAGCGUGGUGGGAUGUUAGGACCCCAUUGCAAGGUAUGGGACUUGAGUCCCACAUUGGAAGUAUGGGAUUCUAAUGUGGGGUUUAUAAGGCCUUGAGCUCUCCAACUACAACAACUAGCUUUUGUGGUGUGGUUCUCCCAAGGUUCUUAUCAAAUGUGCUAUGUUGUUUAGCAGUCAAGUUGGAAGUUCCAUACACCUGUGAACAAAUAACUAUUACUUUAAUAAAAGGUUGGUACAUAUUAACCAAUA